AAUCUUAUAGUUUAAAUUAAAACAUUAAAUUGCAAAUUUAAAAAUAUAUUAAUUAAGAUUU
rnacentral:tRNA from 1 species